GGGAAGACUUAAAGAGGAAAAAAAAUAAAAUGCGAAUUCAAGACAACUGCCAGCAGACCUCUAUAUACUUAUUCAUCACAGGAACUAUUGUAAAUGAAAGGUGUGAUCAAACUGGAGUAGGCUCGCGACAUACACAGGCCGAGUUUGUAGUUAAACAAGGCCGAGGUUAGCCCUUGCUAGGCAAGAACGUGGCUUAUGAAUUAGGAGUGCUCAGGGGAGGUGUCAACAUUGCUGCUGUGUCAGCUGUAAAAUCAAAAAUAAUGAGGCAGUUCCCAAAGUUAUUCGAUGGGGUGGGCAAGUUGAAGACCAAGCAGGUUUCCCUGCACAUACAUAAGAGUGUGACACUGGUAGUACAGCGUCUAAGACCAUUCCAUUUGAGGAGUGCGGUAGAAAAUAGAAUCAAACAAUUGCUGGCUGGCUAUAGCAGCCGAUUCAUUACAUAGUUUGCAAGCAUAUCCAAACCUCUGCAUAGAGUAACCAAAAAGGAUACAAUAUUUGAGUUUGGGCCUGACCAGAGGAGAGCUUUCUAGAUUGCUGAAGGAAAAACUGGCAGAAGGAAGCACACUGGCAUAUUAUGAAAGUAAUUGCAGAUGCAGGGCAGGUGGGUCUAGGAGCAGUGCUUGUGCAGGAACAGGUUGUGCAGAGAAAUGGUUCCUAUAUGCUGUUUGAGUAGAAGCCUGACUGAGUGCGAGUGGAGAUACUCAAAAACUGAGGAAGCGCUAGCACUAGUUUGGGCUUGCAAAAGACUAUCCAUAUAAAUACGGUAAACGAUUUGAUUUGGCAACUGAUUACAAGGCCCUAGAGAUCAUACUGUAUACGACCCUGUAUCAAAACCAUGUGCCCAUAUAAAGUUGCAGCCAUAUGACUUAUGAGUUGUUCACAUCCCAGGGAAGGACAACAUUGGUGACCCCCUUGUCUAGGCUGCUGGGGAAACAGAGGACACAAGAGGAGCACUCCCAUGGCGCAGAGGACUACGUGCGAUUCAUGGUUGUGAAUGCAACCCCUUGGGCCAUGACCACCAAGGAGAUUGAGGAGGCCUCUGCAGUCGACAAGGAACUUGGAUAGACGCACAGCGACGGACUGAGGGUCAGCGCAUCAGUCUACUGCAGACCCGGAAGUGACGAGCGGUGCAUCGGAUUGUCGUGGGCGGGGUCUGGACGGAGAGGCGGAGCCGAAAGUGCAGCCGGCGAAUCGGGACGAGGGCAGGAGGUCCGAAGAAUUUGUAGACCUUCUCUCAAACUUACGGCACGUAACACAUGGACAAAUCGUUACACUCGCACACAUGCAAAAAUACAUACAGAUAUAGGUAUACAUCCACACUCAUCUGUACACCACACACAUGCACAUACACACAUAACCAAUAGUACACAUACAGAGGUAGAGGCUACACACAUGACUAUUUUAAUGAUAAUAAAUUUGUAUUAUGUUGUGCUUAGUGUUGCUGUUACUAUUAAUUAUGUUCCCAUUAUGGGAAUAAGGAGGCAAGUGGCCGAAAACUAACUUUAUUUGGCUGCUAUGGGCCAUAGGCACGGCGUACACUUUUGUAUUCAAAAGAACAAGCCGUAGAACAGUGCUGCACUACACCCAUUCCUUACUUAUUCUACCCCCCCCGUUGUCUCUCUCCUUCCCCACAGCCUCUCUCCACUCUCCCGCCUCCUGUCGCUCAUCCCACACACUCUCCCCAGGAUGGGUGCACGCCCACAGAAAAUAUCCCUCCCAGCAACAUGUGUAACACCAUUCCUGAACACGCUACAAUAUUAUUGUAUCACAGUUGCAGCUGCAUUUGUUAUCAAUGAUGUUAUUGAUAUUACUGUUGUUAUUAUUGUUGCUGCUAGUUGUUGUUUCAUUUUUAUAUUAUUUUAUUACUAUUAUUUUCAUUUUGUUUUUCUUUGUUUUGUCUGUUUCUUGUCUUUUUUGUGUGGCAGUGUGCUCCUAUUUUCUUUAUUUACCCCCCAUACUUCUUCCCCCCACCCCUGUUCUCUGUCUCCCCUAACCUCUGCUUCUUGUCUUCGUUAUAUAAAAAAGAAGAAAAAAAGAACGAAUAAACGAUUCAAAGAAUCAAAUCAUUUCAGUGAACUGAAUGAAAUUAAUGGAAUCACUAAAAA